GAUGAACGCUGGCGGCGUGCUUAACACAUGCAAGUCGAACGGAGUUAUCAUUUUUGAAGCGAUUAGUUUACUAAGAGUGGAAAUGUUGGUAACUUAGUGGCGGACGGGUGAGUAACGCGUGGGUAACCUGCCGUAUACAGGGGGAUAACACUUAGAAAUAGGUGCUAAUACCGCAUAAAAGAAGAAACCGCAUGGUAUCUUUUUGAAAACUGAGGUGGUAUACGAUGGACCCGCGUCUGAUUAGCUAGUUGGUAGGGUAGAAGCCUACCAAGGCGACGAUCAGUAGCCGGCCUGAGAGGGUGAACGGCCACAUUGGGACUGAGACACGGCCCAAACUCCUACGGGAGGCAGCAGUGGGGAAUAUUGCACAAUGGGGGAAACCCUGAUGCAGCGACGCCGCGUGAGUGAAGAAGUAUUUCGGUAUGUAAAGCUCUAUCAGCAGGGAAGAAGAAAAGUUACUUCGUAACUUAGACGGUACCUGACUAAGAAGCCCCGGCUAACUACGUGCCAGCAGCCGCAGUAAAAC
rnacentral:rRNA from 1 species